rnacentral:rRNA from 1 species
UACAGAGGGUGCGAGCGUUGUUCGGAAUUAUUGGGCGUAAAGGGCGCGUAGGCGGUGCGGCAAGUCACCUGUGAAACCUCUGGGCUUAACCCCGAAACGGCACUCGAAACUGCCCGGCUGGAGGGCCGGAGAGGAGAUCGGAAUUCACGGUGUAGCAGUGAAAUGCGUAGAGAUCGUGAGGAAGACCCGUGGCGAAGGCGGAUCUCUGGACGGCUAACUGACGCUGAGGCGCGAAGGCCAGGGGAGCAAACGGG